UACGUAGGGGGCUAGCGUUGUCCGGAAUCAUUGGGCGUAAAGAGCUUGUAGGCGGUUUGUCGCGUCUGCUGUGAAAAUCCGGGGCUCAACCCCGGACUUGCAGUGGGUACGGGCAGACUAGAGUGUGGUAGGGGAGACUGGAAUUCCUGGUGUAGCGGUGGAAUGCGCAGAUAUCAGGAGGAACACCGAUGGCGAAGGCAGGUCUCUGGGCCACUACUGACGCUGAGAAGCGAAAGCAUGGGGAGCGAACAGG
rnacentral:rRNA from 1 species